UACGAAGGGGGCUAGCGUUGUUCGGAGUUACUGGGCGUAAAGGGCGCGUAGGCGGCGCACCAAGUCAGGCGUGAAAGCCCAGAGCUCAACUCUGGAAUUGCCUUUGAGACUGAGUGGCUUGAGUACGGGAGAGGUGAGUGGAAUUCCCAGUGUAGAGGUGAAAUUCGUAGAUAUUGGGAAGAACACCGGUGGCGAAGGCGGCUCACUGGCCCGUAACUGACGCUCAUGCACGACAGCGUGGGGAUCAAACAGG
rnacentral:rRNA from 1 species